UCAUGCUGCUGUAAAAUGUAAUCUCCAUCCACAUCCAGACAGAAUUCUCCUCUAUUCUGUCUCUAUUUUCUCUGCUCUUGUCUGGGCUGACGUAGCUGAUGGUGCGGUACCCUUAUGAAAGAGUUCUACAUUGAGAGGUACAUUUAAGAAGUGCAGGUAGAGUUAGAAAAAUCUGCAGGGCCACAAACACAUUAGGGAAGAUGGACUGUAGACUAUUUUUUAGCCCGAAAACGAUCAUGGUUCUAUUUAUAUUGCAUUAUUCAUGUGGACUCUCCGGGGAUUAUUUAGAACUGAGAGGUGCAGAGCUCUGAUCGUUGACGUGCUCCAGACAGAUGCGUCCUGAGAACGGCUACAGUAACAUUCUCAAAGUGUCACCACCUCAAAAACAAAUUUAACAUGCGAUCAUUUAUAUCGGCUCAUAUCCUUUUAUGUUUUCUGUCUUUUGUUUGUGCCUGAUGUGUUUUGCUGCUGCAGAGCGCAUAACCAGUUUCGUCCUCCGGUGACUUCGCCUCACCGGUGCAGCCGGCGCGCUCUGCUAUAUUUACGAGUCCACAUCCAGAAGGCUGGAGCCGUAUUUCACUGACAGGCUGUCAGACUAAAACCCUGAUGAGCUCAGCUGGGACAAACUCUGGUCUGAUGUUUAGGAACACAAAACGCUCAGAUGUUGGAGCUUCACGUCACCUACUGAGGAAGGAGACCCACCAGUAAAGAGACGGUAGCUGGACCAGACCAAAGACCAGUUUGAAGCCCACAUACAGCCCCUCCCUCAUCAUCAGGAAACAUCAAUCCGUAUCCUGAGGACAACAGAAGACGGAAGGAGGACAGGAACUCUGAGACCUAGAUACCACCAGCACUGGGACACAAAGCACCUGUGUGUACAACGCCUACUAAAGCCUAUUUAUUAUAUUGUUCUGCUUCUUUGCUGUGAGGUUAAUACUUAGAAAAGUUGUAUAUUAAUAUAAACAAUAAAAAAAAUCACUGAUAGUACGUUUCCUCUUAGAUGUAAUGUCAGCCUUGUAAACAUUUAUUGCAUCCUGUAGGUAAACACACAGAACAGGCUCAGAUACAUGAUGAUCCAGCAUGCUUCUUCAUUCUGGCUUUCAUCUAAUGUAUUUAUUUAGAAUGCAGGUAAGAUUUAACUAUAUUUGUUAGCAAAGCAGACUGAUCUUGGGAAUUUCUCCGCAGCACUGAUUUCUCAACCUCUGUGUACAUGUUAGAAUUAACACGGUUACAGCUAAACACACACUUAAUAAAGAUAUAGGCUAUGAAUUGCAGACAAUAAAAACGUAAAGAUGUAAGCAUUAGAAUGAUAAUGAUCACAUUAAAGAACAUU